UGAGGAUGUGAUUUAGGAAGGCACCAGAAGAGCUAGCCUUUCUGAAGGCUUGCGGUUACAGCCCUGGCCCUCUGCUGCUCAGGUCCUGGACUCUUGGGACCUGUCCUAAUCUGACGGCCAUAAGCCAGUGAGGUUGGCAUGGAGACAGCAUGAAGACCGCGUAUACAGUAUUGCAUGAGGAAGCUUGCAUGCAACGGAGGAAAAGAAGAAACCAUAGCAACAGCGGGGGUCCUUUGGACUUAACACUCCACAGACAAGGCCUUGAUGUUAACAUUCUGCCUGCACUCAGUUUGGACAAUCCUCAAUAAAUCUUGUUAAGAG